rnacentral:rRNA from 1 species
UACGAGGGGGGGCUAGCGUUGCUCGGAAUUACUGGGCGUAAAGCGCACGUAGGCGGUCUUUUAAGUCGGGGGUGAAAUCCUGGAGCUCAACUCCAGAACUGCCUUCGAUACUGGAAGACUUGAGUCCGGGAGAGGUGAGUGGAACUGCGAGUGUAGAGGUGAAAUUCGUAGAUAUUCGCAAGAACACCAGUGGCGAAGGCGGCUCACUGGCCCGGUACUGACGCUGAGGUGCGAAAGCGUGGGGAGCAAACAGG